rnacentral:lncRNA from 1 species
GACUGCACAAGGCUUUGGUACAGCUGUGACCCUCUUCAUCCUCUCCUGACCCCCUAGCUGACCCUCGUCCUCAGACCUCUGCAGAACUUUGACCAAGUGGUGGUGGAGGAGUUCCGGUGGGUCUGGGGUGGUCCUGGGUGACCCAGAGCUCAGACCUGGGUUCUGGGGAUGAGGGCAGGAGGCUGGAAGAGAUGACCUCCCCUAGCCCCCCAGGCUAUCCAGGACCCUGAAGUCUGCAAUGACCCUCCCACCAGGCUGGACCCACUGACCACCAGAAUGGGAGCCACCUUCUUCAGGGAGGCACCAGCCCAGGCCCUCGUGUGGGACCACGUGCGCCAGGGUCUGCAUGCCCUGUGGGAGGCAGAGGGCCUCUUGGCAGAGAUGGUCAUUCCAGACUUCGGUGCUAAAGUGGAGGGCGUGCCUCGGGGUGUCCAGCCUGGGGCAUAGAAGCGCACAGUGCAGUACGGAGGACGCUCUCCAGACAGGCGGCCCCUCACGCUGCUGCUCCCUCUGCUGAAACCCCAACUCCAAACCUCUCCUCUCCCGUCCUUCACCUCGCCCCAUGGCUUCCAGACAGCGCCUCAACCCUGAGGAAUGAAUCUGGAGUUCCAACACUGCUGCCUUUCCCAGGAACUCAGCCAGCGAGGGCCAGGUACCGGUCCGAGGUCACACAGCCAGGGGCUUCUUCUCUCCUAAGUCCCCAAGGACUGGACCUGCAGUGCUGGGACAGAGGCGGGAUGGGGAAGCCGUGCCUUGUCAACCCACGCAGGGAGGCUGCUGCCAUCCCCAAGGUGCAUAAAGCGGAGGACACCCCUGCUUCCCCGUCCAUGCUCAUUCAGGGCCCUGCUCCAGUGCUC